UACGGAGGGAGCUAGCGUUGUUCGGAAUUACUGGGCGUAAAGCGCACGUAGGCGGCUUUGUAAGUUAGAGGUGAAAGCCCGGGGCUCAACUCCGGAACUGCCUUUAAAACUGCAUCGCUUGAAUCCAGGAGAGGUGAGUGGAAUUCCGAGUGUAGAGGUGAAAUGCGUAGAUAUCUGGAGGAACACCGGUGGCGAAGGCGGCAUCCUGGACCAACACUGACGCUGAGGAGCGAAAGCCAGGGGGAGCAAACGGG
rnacentral:rRNA from 1 species